CAGGGAUUGCCUCAGUAACGGCGAGUGAAGCGGCAACAGCUCAAAUUUGAAAUCUGGCCCUCUCAGGGUCCGAGUUGUAAUUUGGAGAAGAUGCUUCGGGUGUGGCCCCGGUCUAAGUUCCUUGGAACAGGACGUCACAGAGGGUGAGAAUCCCGUACGUGACCGGUGGCCUCCCCCGUGUGAAGCUCUUUCGACGAGUCGAGUUGUUUGGGAAUGCAGCUCAAAAUGGGUGGUAAAUUUCAUCUAAAGCUAAAUAUUGGCCAGAGACCGAUAGCGCACAAGUAGAGUGAUCGAAAGAUGAAAAGCACUUUGGAAAGAGAGUUAAACAGUACGUGAAAUUGUUGAAAGGGAAGCGCUUGCAACCAGACUUGCGCGCGGCCGAUCAUCUGGUGUUCUCACCGGUGCACUCGGCCGCGCUCAGGCCAGCAUCGGUUUAGGUGGUUGGACAAAGGCCUCGGGAAUGUGGCUCUCUUCGGGGAGUGUUAUAGCCCGAGGUGCAACGCAGCCCACCUGGACCGAGGACCGCGCUCCGGCUAGGAUGCUGGCGUAAUGGUUGUAAGCGACCCGUCUUGAAACACGGACCAAGGAGUCUAACAUCUAUGCGAGUGUUUGGGUGUCAAACCCAUACGCGUAAUGAAAGUGAACGGAGGUGAGAACCCUUAAGGGUGCAUCAUCGACCGAUCCUGAUGUCUUCGGAUGGAUUUGAGUAAGAGCAUAGCUGUUGGGACCCGAAAGAUGGUGAACUAUGCCUGAAUAGGGUGAAGCCAGAGGAAACUCUGGUGGAGGCUCGCAGCGGUUCUGACGUGCAAAUCGAUCGUCAAAUUUGGGCAUAGGGGGCGAAAGA
rnacentral:rRNA from 1 species